rnacentral:rRNA from 1 species
UACGGGGGGGGUAAGCGUUGUUCGGAAUUACUGGGCGUAAAGGGCUCGUAGGCGGCUUUGUAAGUCAGAGGUGAAAGCCUGGAGCUUAACUCCAGAACUGCCUUUGAGACUGCAUCGCUCGAAUCCGGGAGAGGUGAGUGGAAUUCCGAGUGUAGAGGUGAAAUUCGUAGAUAUUCGGAAGAACACCAGUGGCGAAGGCGGCUCACUGGACCGGCAUUGACGCUGAGGUGCGAAAGCGUGGGGAGCAAACAGG